AGAGUCCCAGGCAACAGGGACAGAGAGACUGGCCCAGCAGGGGCUCUCUGGGCCAACUGAGCAAGGUGACAGGGCCCAGGAAAGGAGCUGUUGCCUGCACAAGGGCAGAUGGAGUCAAGGAAUCAGUGUUCAUGGGAUCCUGGCUGUCCCCACAGUGUCGUGGCUGAACCUUACAAGAACAGAAGCAAGUGAAGCACAGGUAGCCAGCCACCUCAAGGGGGAAGUAUUGAUAACGAAGGGACUCAAAGCAGCAUAGACAUGGGAUGCUGAGGGGCCAAGUGAGCAGAGCAGAGAGUGAGUGCUGCAAGUCCUCGGAGGGGUCAACCGGGACCCAAGCAUCCAGAAAAGGCAGGGACCAUGCAAAGGGGUCCGAAAAAUGGGACCUUCAGUGGAAAGCACUGAGAAGACCAUUAUUCAGUCUCUGUGCCCAGAAUCACUGUCUGCCAGGCUCUGGCCAACCUGUAGCCUCUCCGUGCUGAAAACGACCCGCUAAAAAAGCCAAGAGGGAAGGACCCAGCACACAGCCGUGAACCACAUAUACACGAAGAGGGCCUAAAGUGAAAAAGAUAAACUUUAAAUCAAACGGAAACUUUUUCCAGCAACUUCCACUCUUGUGAUACUGAACUGAACUGAAGCAGAAGAUUUUAAGAGUUGCCUGAAUCCUUUGGACCUGCUUAUUGGCUUAAAAAGUCUAAUUGUGAAAUUGACUUAAAAAUUCCUAAUUGUGAAAGAAGGGGUCUCUUCUUUGGCAUGGCACUCUCACUAACAAUUUUCUUGGUAAGAGGACCCAACAAACAGCAAUAGAAAUAGAAAACUAUGGAUUGCUAGGUGAGAGUAUUUUUUAACCUGCUUCAAUCUACAACUGCAAAAUGAACUGGCCCAAUUUAAUUAGAAAAAUUUCAGUUUCUGACCACUGAUCUACAUUACUGAAAGGUUACAUGUGAAAUAAAUGUGGGGUGUGUGUGUGUGUUUGUGUCUGAAAUUGAAUCAUUUUCUAACUCAUUCACUAUAAAAAAGAAAUAGACGGGAUCAUUUGAACUCUGCCUUUGCAAUUUAUCAUCUUCGUGAUCUUAGACAAUCUCUUAAUUUCUCUAAGCUUCCACUUUCUCCUCUAAAAUGGAGUUGAACUCAAAGGGCUGACCUAAAGUUUACAUAAAAUGAGAAAAUGUAAGGUACUGGGGCUGAUACAUAGACAGUAUUCAAUAAAGCUUUAUGAAAUCUGUAUUGU
ensembl:lncRNA novel transcript